GGGAGUGUAGCUCAAUGGUAGAGCAGCGGCCUUUUAAGCCGUUGGUUGGGGGUUCGAGUCCCCCCGCUCCUACCA
rnacentral:tRNA from 1 species